UUACUGAGUUUACGCUCUAUAACCCUUUGUGAACAUACCUAUAACUGUUGCUUCGGCGGGUAGGGUCUCCGUGACCCUCCCGGCCUCCCGCCCCCGGGCGGGUCGGCGCCCGCCGGAGGAUAACCAAACUCUGAUUUAACGACGUUUCUUCUGAGUGGUACAAGCAAAUAAUCAAAACUUUUAACAACGGAUCUCUUGGUUCUGGCAUCGAUGAAGAACGCAGCGAAAUGCGAUAAGUAAUGUGAAUUGCAGAAUUCAGUGAAUCAUCGAAUCUUUGAACGCACAUUGCGCCCGCCAGCAUUCUGGCGGGCAUGCCUGUUCGAGCGUCAUUUCAACCCUCAAGCUCUGCUUGGUGUUGGGGCCCUACAGCUGAUGUAGGCCCUCAAAGGUAGUGGCGGACCCUCCCGGAGCCUCCUUUGCGUAGUAACUUUACGUCUCGCACUGGGAUCCGGAGGGACUCUUGCCGUAAAACCCCCAAUUUUCCAAAGGUUGACCUCGGAUCAGGUAGGAAUACCCGCUGAACUUAAGCAUAUCAAUA
rnacentral:rRNA from 1 species